CUGUACUAGAUGGGGAGGUAGCGGUGCCCUGUAACCUGCAAUCCGCUAUAGCAGGAUUGAAUUCCAUCUAGAGGUUUUUAUUUUGUAGAGCUGCCCAGAAUAAGUGGUGUUGAUGCUUAGGUCCUGUGCAAUGUAAGCUCAUGAACCCGUCAGAUCCGGAAGGAAGCAGCGGUAAGUGAUUCCUUGCAUGUGACAUAGGAGUGCCUAGGUUGAGCUAACUGUUUUGGUAACGUCUGUGAAGUAUUAAUCAAUAGAUGGUGUACAG
rnacentral:SRP_RNA from 1 species